UUGGGGGAAGGGAAACCGGAGCAGGUAUGGAGGCCGCCGCUCCGAAGGCAGCUACGGGGCCAGACUGGAGACCCCCGGGUGAGAGGGAGGGGCGGAGACUGGGAGAAGGAAGCCGGGAGCCUCCCAGAUCCUGGAGGAGGAAGCCGGGUGCAGUGUAGCCAAGUAGGCCCCGGCAUAACUCCUUGUCUAUAGUGGAUCCGGGACCCAGGGAGGGUCGCCCCCCGGGCCUGGUGGCACUGAGCAGGGCCCCCCAGCCCCCACCUCCUGCCCCACGACAUGAACCUCCUCUACCGAAAAACCAAGCUGGAGUGGAGGCAGCACAAGGAAGAGGAGGCCAAGAGGAGCUCCAGUAAGGAGGUGGCUCCCGCAGGCCCCGCGGCGGGGCCCGGGGCUGGCCCAGGGCCG
rnacentral:lncRNA from 1 species